rnacentral:rRNA from 1 species
UAGGGAAUCUUCGGCAAUGGACGGAAGUCUGACCGAGCAACGCCGCGUGAGUGAAGAAGGUUUUCGGAUCGUAAAGCUCUGUUGUUAGAGAAGAACGUUGGUAGGAGUGGAAAAUCUACCAAGUGACGGUAACUAACCAGAAAGGGACGGCUAACUACGUGCCAGCAGCCGCGGUAAUACGUAGGUCCCGAGCGUUGUCCGGAUUUAUUGGGCGUAAAGCGAGCGCAGGCGGUUCUUUAAGUCUGAAGUUAAAGGCAGUGGCUUAACCAUUGCACGCUUUGGAAACUGGAGGACUUGAGUGCAGAAGGGGAGAGUGGAAUUCCAUGUGUAGCGGUGAAAUGCGUAGAUAUAUGGAGGAACACCGGUGGCGAAAGCGGCUCUCUGGUCUGUAACUGACGCUGAGGCUCGAAAGCGUGGGGAGCAAACAGGAUUAGAUACCCUGGUAGUCCACGCCGUAAACGAUGAGUGCUAGGUGUUAGGCCCUUUCCGGGGCUUAGUGCCGCAGCUAACGCAUUAAGCACUCCGCCUGGGGAGUACGACCGCAAGGUUG